GAGUUUGAUUCUGGCUCAGGAUGAACGCUAGCGGCAGGCCUAACACAUGCAAGUCGAGGGGUAGAGUGCUUCGGCACUUGAGACCGGCGUACGGGUGCGUAACGCGUGUACAAUCUACCUUUUGCUAAGGGAUAGCCCGAAGAAAUUUGGAUUAAUACCUUAUAGUAUUAUUUGGUGGCAUCAUUAGAUAAUUAAAGCUACGGUGGCAAAAGAUGAGUACGCGUCCCAUUAGCUAGUUGGAGUGGUAACGGCACACCAAGGCUACGAUGGGUAGGGGUUCUGAGAGGGAUGUCCCCCACACUGGUACUGAGACACGGACCAGACUCCUACGGGAGGCAGCAGUGAGGAAUAUUGGACAAUGGUCGGAAGACUGAUCCAGCCAUGCCGCGUGCAGGAUGACGGCCUUAUGGGUUGUAAACUGCUUUUGUAUGGGAAGAAUAAGGUCUACGUGUAGAUUGAUGACGGU
rnacentral:rRNA from 1 species